AUGGCAACAUCUGCCCCACGUGCCGGAAGCCAAGUGGUGGUGACAACUGCGCGCCAUUCCGCGUCCUACGGCGCAGAUCCUCUACAUGUGUCCUCGCGAGACAAGCUCACCGAACUGGCCGCGUCCAGUCAAGGAAACUUUGAGGGAAAUUUUGAGUCACUGGACCUUGCGGAAUUUGCUAAGAAGCAGCCAUGGUGGCGUAAGCUGUUCGGGCAGGAAUCUGGACCUUCAGCAGAAAAGUAUAGCGUGGCAACCCAGCUGUUCAUUGGAGGUGUCACUGGAUGGUGCACGGGUUUCAUAUUCCAGAAAGUUGGAAAGUUGGCUGCAAUAGCUGUGGGAGGUGGAUUUUUUCUCCUUCAGCUUGCAAACCAUACUGGUUACAUCAAAGUUGACUGGCAACGAGUGGAGAAGGACAUGAAGAAAGCCAAAGAGCAGCUGAAGAUCCGUAAGAGCAAUCAGACACCUACUGAGGUCAGGAGCAAAGCUGAGGAGGUGGUGUCAUUUGUGAAGAAGAAUGUUCUAGUGACUGGGGGAUUUUUCGGAGGAUUUCUGCUUGGCAUGGCAUCCUAAGGAAGAUGACCUGAUGUUCAUUGUUCAUGGUUUUUUCCAGCCAGCAGCCUCUACACUCCAUCACAGGACAUCGUGUCCCUCCUCCUCUUCUCCCAUGCCUUCCUCCCUGCCAUGGCAAAUCCCAGUGGCUUCUAUAAGCAUCUGCUGGUACAAGUUAAUGUGGCACCAUGAGCUUGAUGGUGGCAGAAGAGACAAUAGUCCUUAGCUCUCCUCCCAGUACACCCCCUACUUGGUCAGUCUGUAGGUCAACAAGAAGGUUCCUUUACCACUAUGCAAGACACUUAUGAGAAAGCAUUGCAAGAUGGCUGACCGUGGAGGAUGAGUGGAUCCUGA